CAGCCGCCGCGGUAAUACGUAGGGGGCAAGCGUUAUCCGGAAUUACUGGGUGUAAAGGGAGCGUAGACGGUUAAACAAGUCUGAAGUGAAAUGCCGGGGCUCAACCCCGGAGCUGCUUUGGGAACUGUAGAACUGGAGUGUCGGAGGGGUAAGCGGAAUUCCCAGUGUAGCGGUGAAAUGCGUAGAUAUUGGGAGGAACACCGGCGGCGAAGGCGGCUUACUGGACGACAACUGACGUUGAGGCUCGAAGGCGUGGGUAGCAAACAGGAUUAGAUACCCGCGUAGUCCCUGUCUCUUAUAC
rnacentral:rRNA from 1 species